GACGAACGCUGGCGGCGUGCUUAACACAUGCAAGUCGAACGGAAAGGCCCUGCUUUUGUGGGGUGCUCGAGUGGCGAACGGGUGAGUAACACGUGAGUAACCUGCCCUUGACUUUGGGAUAACUUCAGGAAACUGGGGCUAAUACCGGAUAGGAGCUCCUGCUGCAUGGUGGGGGUUGGAAAGUUUCGGCGGUUGGGGAUGGACUCGCGGCUUAUCAGCUUGUUGGUGGGGUAGUGGCUUACCAAGGCUUUGACGGGUAGCCGGCCUGAGAGGGUGACCGGCCACAAUGGGACUGAGAUACGGCCCAGACUCCUACGGGAGGCAGCAGUGGAGAAUAUUGCACAAUGGGCGGAAGCCUGAUGCAGCAACGCCGCGUGCGGGAUGACGGCCUUCGGGUUGUAAACCUCUGUCGCCUGUGACGAAGCGUGAGUGACGGUAAUGAGUAAAGAAGCACCGGCUAACUACGUG
rnacentral:rRNA from 1 species